UCAGGAUGAACGCUAGCUACAGGCUUAACACAUGCAAGUCGAGGGGCAUCAGGGACUGUGCUUGCACAGUUGCUGGCGACCGGCGCACGGGUGAGUAACGCGUAUCCAACCUUCCCCUUAGUAGGGCAUAGCCCGUAGAAAUGCGGAUUAAUACCCUAUGUUUUCCAAUGAGGACAUCUGAGCUGGAACAAAGAUUCAUCGCUAAGGGAUGGGGAUGCGUCUGAUUAGCUUGCCGGCGGGGUAACGGCCCACCGGGGCAACGAUCAGUAGGGUUCUGAGAGGAAGGUCCCCCACAUUGGAACUGAGACACGGUCCAAACUCCUACGGGAGGCAGCAGUGAGGAAUAUUGGUCAAUGGUCGAGAGACUGAACCAGCCAAGUAGCGUGCCAGGAUGACGGCCCUAUGGGCUGUAAACUGCUUUUAUGCGGGGAUAAAGUGAGGGACGUGUCCCUUUUUGUAGGUACCGCAUGAAUAAGGACCGGCUAAUUCCGUGCCAGCAGCCGC
rnacentral:rRNA from 1 species